rnacentral:lncRNA from 1 species
AGGACUUUGACUGUAAGAUGUGAAACCACAUUUCUUGCAUGACGUUUUAGAAAUUAUGUAUUUCAUUUACAGUCUUUUAACCUGCAACUGCAGCACUUAGUUCAAGUUUUUCACAAAUUUAAGAGUCACUACACUAAAGACAAUGCCUUUUCAUGAAGAAGAAGUUUGCAGAAGGCUCUAGGAGGCUGGGAGGCAGGCCGUUUGUCUUUUGAUGGUUUCAUAUCAUUCUGAAUUUAAAAUCUGGUUCAGUGAGCAGAGAAUUCAACACGGAGGAGCUUAAGGGGAAAAUGGAUUCCCAUCUGGCUGAAUCCAGGUGCGUUGAGAAGAGGGCGUUUGCAUCCGUGACCCUCAGGACAGUGCGUAGCAGAGCCCCUGACAGUACUGUGGUGUCCUCUCCACAGAAACCUCAAGGAGGAAUUUUGUCAUCACGUGAUGAGUCUCCAAAUACCCAACUUUCAGUAGAACGAAAAGCAGGGCGUUAACAGGGAACGCCAGGGUAGUGUUUUCGAUUUAAAGGCAUGACUGUUAUUUACUAAGGAGUUAAAUCGAAGAAACUGAUACAAAGUAUAAACCUGUCCAUCCUUGUGGCCAAAUAGUAACGUCUAAAACAGCCACUUUGGCUCUUCCAGGCAAUUUAGUCAUUUU